rnacentral:rRNA from 1 species
AACGAACGCUGGCGGCAUGCCUAACACAUGCAAGUCGAACGAUGCCUUCGGGCAUAGUGGCGCACGGGUGCGUAACGCGUGGGAAUCUGCCUUUCGGUUCGGAGUAACUCAGGGAAACUUGAGCUAAUACCGGAUAACGUCGCAAGACCAAAGAUUUAUCACCGAAAGAUGAGCCCGCGUAGGAUUAGCUAGUUGGUGAGGUAAAGGCUCACCAAGGCGACGAUCCUUAGCUGGUCUGAGAGGAUGAUCAGCCACACUGGGACUGAGACACGACCCAGACUCCUACGGGAGGCAGCAGUGGGGAAUAUUGGACAAUGGGCGAAAGCCUGAUCCAGCAAUGCCGCGUGAGUGAUGAAGGCCUUAGGGUUGUAAAGCUCUUUUACCCGGGAAGAUAAUGACGGUACCGGGAGAAUAAACCCCGGCUAACUCCGU